rnacentral:misc_RNA from 1 species
UACAGCACAUCGAAGCGCACG